GCCAGAGUGGCGGAAUUGGCAGACGCGCCGGACUCAAAAUCCGGUUAGGGUGAAACCUAGUGUGGGUUCGAGUCCCACCUCUGGUA
rnacentral:tRNA from 1 species